CCCCCCAGUCGGGCAACCCGGGAACUGGGUAUAAUACCCGACAGAUCUCGACUGCUGGAAUGCAUCGAGCUCUAAAGCUCCGGCGCCUGAGGAUGGGUCUGCGGCCUAUCAGGUAGUAGUGGGUGUAGCGUACCUACUAGCCUACGACGGGUACGGGUUGUGAGAGCAAGAGCCCGGAGAUGGAUUCUGAGACACGAAUCCAGGCCCUACGGGGUGCAGCAGGCGCGAAAACUUUACAAUGCCGGCAACGGCGAUAAGGGGACCUCGAGUGCCAGGUUACAAAUCUGGCUGUCGUGAUGCCUAAAAAGCAUUGCAUAGCAAGGGCCGGGCAAGACCGGUGCCAGCCGCCGCGGUAACACCGGCGGCUCGAGUGGUAACCGUUAUUAUUGGGUCUAAAGGGUCUGUAGCCGGCCGGAUAAGUCUCUUGGGAAAUCCAGCAGCUCAACUGUUGGGCUUUCAGGAGAUACUGUUCGGCUCGAGGCCGGGAGAGGUGAGAGGUACUUCAGGGGUAGGGGUGAAAUCUUGUAAUCCUUGAAGGACCACCAGUGGCGAAGGCGUCUCACCAGAACGGACCUGACGGCAAGGGACGAAAGCUAGGGGCACGAACCGGAUUAGAUACCCGGGUAGUCCUAGCCGUAAACGAUACUCGCUAGGUGUCGGCCACGGUGCGACCGUUGUCGGUGCCGUAGGGAAGCCGUGAAGCGAGCCACCUGGGAAGUACGGCCGCAAGGCUGAAACUUAAAGGAAUUGGCGGGGGAGCAC
rnacentral:rRNA from 1 species